AUAAUGGGUCAGCGACUUAUAUUCUGUAGCAAGGUUAACCGAAUAGGGGAGCCGAAGGGAAACCGAGUCUUAACUGGGCGUUAAGUUGCAGGGUAUAGACCCGAAACCCGGUGAUCUAGCCAUGGGCAGGUUGAAGGUUGGGUAACACUAACUGGAGGACCGAACCGACUAAUGUUGAAAAAUUAGCGGAUGACUUGUGGCUGGGGGUGAAAGGCCAAUCAAACCGGGAGAUAGCUGGUUCUCCCCGAAAGCUAUUUAGGUAGCGCCUCGUGAAUUCAUCUCCGGGGGUAGAGCACUGUUUCGGCAAGGGGGUCAUCCCGACUUACCAACCCGAUGCAAACUGCGAAUACCGGAGAAUGUUAUCACGGGAGACACACGGCGGGUGCUAACGUCCGUCGUGAAGAGGGAAACAACCCAGACCGCCAGCUAAGGUCCCAAAGUCAUGGUUAAGUGGGAAACGAUGUGGGAAGGCCCAGACAGCCAGGAUGUUGGCUUAGAAGCAGCCAUCAUUUAAAGAAAGCGUAAUAGCUCACUGGUCGAGUCGGCCUGCGCGGAAGAUGUAACGGGGCUAAACCAUGCACCGAAGCUGCGGCAGCGACGCUGAUGCGUUGUUGGGUAGGGGAGCGUUCUGUAAGCCUGCGAAGGUGUGCUGUGAGGCAUGCUGGAGGUAUCAGAAGUGCGAAUGCUGACAUAAGUAACGAUAAAGCGGGUGAAAAGCCCGCUCGCCGGAAGACCAAGGGUUCCUGUCCAACGUUAAUCGGGGCAGGGUGAGUCGACCCCUAAGGCGAGGCCGAAAGGCGUAGUCGAUGGGAAACAGGUUAAUAUUCCUGUACUUGGUGUUACUGCGAAGGGGGGACGGAGAAGGCUAUGUUGGCCGGGCGACGGUUGUCCCGGUUUAAGCGUGUAGGCUGGUUUUCCAGGCAAAUCCGGAAAAUCAAGGCUGAGGCGUGAUGACGAGGCACUACGGUGCUGAAGCAACAAAUGCCCUGCUUCCAGGAAAAGCCUCUAAGCAUCAGGUAACAUCAAAUCGUACCCCAAACCGACACAGGUGGUCAGGUAGAGAAUACCAAGGCGCUUGAGAGAACUCGGGUGAAGGAACUAGGCAAAAUGGUGCCGUAACUUCGGGAGAAGGCACGCUGAUACGUAGGUGAAGUCCCUCGCGGAUGGAGCUGAAAUCAGUCGAAGAUACCAGCUGGCUGCAACUGUUUAUUAAAAACACAGCACUGUGCAAACACGAAAGUGGACGUAUACGGUGUGACGCCUGCCCGGUGCCGGAAGGUUAAUUGAUGGGGUCAGCGCAAGCGAAGCUCUUGAUCGAAGCCCCGGUAAACGGCGGCCGUAACUAUAACGGUCCUAAGGUAGCGAAAUUCCUUGUCGGGUAAGUUCCGACCUGCACGAAUGGCGUAAUGAUGGCCAGGCUGUCUCCACCCGAGACUCAGUGAAAUUGAACUCGCUGUGAAGAUGCAGUGUACCCGCGGCAAGACGGAAAGACCCCGUGAACCUUUACUAUAGCUUGACACUGAACAUUGAGCCUUGAUGUGUAGGAUAGGUGGGAGGCUUUGAAGUGUGGACGCCAGUCUGCAUGGAGCCGACCUUGAAAUACCACCCUUUAAUGUUUGAUGUUCUAACGUUGACCCGUAAUCCGGGUUGCGGACAGUGUCUGGUGGGUAGUUUGACUGGGGCGGUCUCCUCCUAAAGAGUAACGGAGGAGCACGAAGGUUGGCUAAUCCUGGUCGGACAUCAGGAGGUUAGUGCAAUGGCAUAAGCCAGCUUGACUGCGAGCGUGACGGCGCGAGCAGGUGCGAAAGCAGGUCAUAGUGAUCCGGUGGUUCUGAAUGGAAGGGCCAUCGCUCAACGGAUAAAAGGUACUCCGGGGAUAACAGGCUGAUACCGCCCAAGAGUUCAUAUCGACGGCGGUGUUUGGCACCUCGAUGUCGGCUCAUCACAUCCUGGGGCUGAAGUAGGUCCCAAGGGUAUGGCUGUUCGCCAUUUAAAGUGGUACGCGAGCUGGGUUUAGAACGUCGUGAGACAGUUCGGUCCCUA
rnacentral:rRNA from 1 species